UCUCCUCUUUCCCCUAGAUUGCCACACGGCGCAAGGAGAGCCCUUGAUUUUCUCCAAUUCCUUUUAAGUAAGAGGCGUGGAAGAAUUAAGUAAGAGGUGUACAAGAAUUAAGUAAGGUGUGUGGUAGAAUUUGGAGGGAUGAAUCAAGGAGUGAUUUUUCAUUGAAAUUAUUCCUUGUUUAGAUAGGCAUGAGAUGCCUAUAAAAGGAGGGAUGGUGUUAGGGCUUAGAAGCAUUGGAUGUGCCUUGAUUCAGCCGCCCACCCCCUUCCUCCUAUCCUUCCUGGCAUGAGCAAGAAAAAGGGAAGAGAAGCAGCGCCAUCUUCUUCCUCUUCGUCCUUCUUUUUCCUUCCUCUCAAAGCAAUCAAGGAGUUGAUUGAAAGAGAGAGAAAAUUAGCUAUCAAAAGAGGAUCUCUGUAAGGGAGCUAGCACCCCGGUGAGAUCAAGGUUCUUGGAGCGAUCUACCUCGUGUGGAUACCUAUAGAGGUCGGACGCUUGUGCGGCUUCAAGCGAACCAAAUCAUCGAUCAUCUGAUAGCGGUGAAGAUCUACCCGCUCAAAGGUAAAGAUAUGAUCUUUAUAAUUCUGAAUAGUAGAUCUGAAAAUUAAUCAAGUUAGUAAUUUUAAUCUUUCCUUAGAUUUCAUAAUUUUUUGAGUUAGAGAACUCAGAAUUUUUUAAAAUCUACGUUUCCUAGAACUUUCAUGAGAUGAACGACCCCGCACGUGUCUUUUCACUGCGAUCGUCGCAUCGCGUGCGGGGGUAACCUGACAAUAGAGACUAAAACCGGAUUCCCAACCAAUCGCCAAAGCAAAAUAACCAAAUCAAUUAAAAAAUUUGAUGUCGCAAAGUAGAGUCCUCAUCCAAGCCAUUUAUCUGUGAAGAAAACACAAAAAAAGACUGUCACCAUGUUGUAAAAAAUCAUGAUAAUGUUAACCACACAAGACAAUCUACUAUUCAUGGGAUUAAGCAAAGAAAACAUUAAAAAAAAUAUCAGUACUUUUUUAUGGAAUUUAGACAUGAAGGGUUGAAUAAUGUGGGUGCAUUGAAUAUGAUGGGAGGAAAAGCUAGUGUCUUGAAAAGAUGGCUUAGCAGGACAGCUCACAAAAGUUGAUAAAGAAACAAUUGAAGUGACACAAAACGCACAUUUUAAUUUAAUUUUUUCCCUCUGAUGGCUAAGAAGUUGAUUUUGUGGGUGAGGAGGCAGGGAGGCUUGUACUUGGACAUAGCUGAGAAUAGAAAUCUAAGCAUUUUGAGGAAAAAAUCAGAAAAAACAUAAAAUUUUAUAAGUGAAACCUGGGGCAAUAUAAAAACUCUAGCUAGAAAUUGAGAGAAGGUGAGCAUUGGUGCGGCAUCGAGGUUGCUUCAUUGUGAUCUGGAGGUCACGGGUUCGAAAUAUGGAAAUAAACUCUCCACAUGUGGGGGUAAGGCUGCGUAUAUCUGACCCUCACUAAACCUGCAAUGCUGGGAACCUCGUGCACUGGGUUGCCUUUCUGGCUAGAAAUUAAGACCACAAACAAGCAAGUUAGAAAUCCCUAAGCUAUAAUUCAAAGAGAAGAAAGAAAACUAACAGAUGAAGCAAUUUCUUACCAAAAGCCCUAAAAUGACAUUGUUGAGAUCAAAAGCUGGAACAAAGGAAGCAACUUUAGGGGAAAAUCUAGUCAAGAGCAUAUUGUACUUUAGGGUGCAAUGAGGACCAAAUGGUAGUAAAGAAGCAAGAGCAGCAAUUAAUCCUCAAGACUAUGCUGAAGGACAAAGCUAUGCAGGAAUUGAUGCAUUAUUUGAGCAUGGAGGAUUAGGG
rnacentral:lncRNA from 1 species